ACACCAUGGGAGUGGGUUGCAAAAGAAGUAGGUAGCUUAACCUUCGGGAGGGCGCUUACCACUUUGUGAUUCAUAACUGGGGUGAAGUCGUAACAAGGUAACCGUAGGGGAACCUGCGGUUGGAUCACCUCCUUACCUUAAAGAA
rnacentral:rRNA from 1 species